AAGAUCAUACUUCACAGGAUCAUUUCUGUAGUAUAUCUUCACAUACUCUACAUUCAAUUGUGGAGUUGUUGCAACCGUGAUGAUGAGUUGUAGCGUUGUAAUCUGAGCGUGAGGAGGAUUGAUUGAAGGUUUUUAUAAACCUUGAAUGAAGUUAUCGAUGACCGUUCACUAAUCUCUUGAGAUUAGCUACGAUUAUAACGCAAUCCGAGCGGU